CCCUGGUGGCUCAGAUGGUAAAGAGUCUGCCUGCAGUGCAGGAGACCCAGGUUCGAUCCCUGGGUCAGGAA
rnacentral:tRNA from 1 species